rnacentral:rRNA from 1 species
UACGUAGGGUGCAAGCGUUGUCCGGAAUUAUUGGGCGUAAAGAGCGUGUAGGCGGCCCGAUUAGUCCGCUGUGAAAGUCCAGGGCUCAACCCUGGAAUGCCGGUGGAUACUGUCGGGCUAGAGUCCGGAAGGGGCGAGUGGAAUUCCUGGUGUAGCGGUGAAAUGCGCAGAUAUCAGGAGGAACACCGGUGGUGUAAACGGCUUUCUGGACCGUAGCUGACGCUGAGACACGAAAGCGUGGGUAGCAAACAGG